GCCUGGCUGGCUCUUUCGGCGGAGCGUGUGACUCUUGAUCUCAGGGUCGUGAGUUCGAGCCCCACGUUGGGCA
rnacentral:tRNA from 1 species